rnacentral:rRNA from 1 species
UACGGAGGGUGCGAGCGUUGUUCGGAAUCACUGGGCGUAAAGCGCGUGUAGGCGGCCCACUAAGUCUGAUGUGAAAGCCCGGGGCUCACCCCCGGAAGUGCAUUGGAAACUGGUGGACUCGAGUCCCGGAGAGGAGAGUGGAAUUCCGUGGUGUAGCGGUGAAAUGCGUAGAUAUCAGGAGGAACACCGAUGGCGGAAGGCCAGGUCUCUGGGAGCAUUGAACUGACGCUGAGGAGCG